CUGAAAGUAGCUUAUUUUAAAAGUUUGAGAUUCUUACUCUCAGGAUGUUGUUUUAAACCUUUUAGG
rnacentral:tRNA from 1 species